ACUAAGGGUUACUUAUUUAGGGCCGUAAAGCCGUAAUGCUUUACGAGUACUUCCUGAAUUGCUGGAAACUCCUUCAGAGUUCUACUACCACAAUAGACCCGAAAGGAGUCUAUGAAGGUUUAACAAGUGUAGAAAUUGGACAAUCAGCAGCCAAGCUCCUAAACCGAAAGGCACGGAGAAGGUUCAACGACUAUCCCGUAGUGGGGAGUAGAGUUCAAGUGAACUCGAAGUGGGAAGCACCCUAUCGGGAAACCGAGGGUGAAGAUAUAGUCUGGACAUCCAGGGAAAGCCUGG
rnacentral:ncRNA from 1 species